rnacentral:lncRNA from 1 species
ACACUGUGGACUACACAGUUUAAUAUCAGUUAUAUAAUCAUGACCAUGGUGGACUACACAGUUUAAUAUCAGUUAUAUGACCAUGGUGGACUACACAGUUUAAUAUCAGUUAUAUGACCAUGGUGGACCACACAGUUUAAUAUCAGUUAUAUGACCAUGGUGGACUACACAGUUUAAUAUCAGUUAUAUAAACACUGUGGACUACACAGUUUAAUAUCAGUUAUAUGACCAUGGUGGACUACACAGUUUAAUAUCAGUUAUAUGACCAUGGUGGACUACACAGUUUAAUAUCAGUUAUAUGAUCAUGACCAUGGUGGACCACACAGUUUAAUAUCAGUUAUAUGAUCAUGACCAUGGUGGACUACACAGUUUAAUAUCAGUUAUAUGACCAUGGUGGACCACACAGUUUAAUAUCAGUUAUAUGACCAUGGUGGACCACACAGUUUAAUAUCAGUUAUAUGAUCAUGACCAUGGUGGACUACACAGUUUAAUAUCAGUUAUAUGAUCAUGACCAUGGUGGACUACACAGUUUAAUAUCAGUUAUAUGACCAUGGUGGACCACACAGUUUAAUAUCAGUUAUAUGACCAUGGUGGACCACACAGUUUAAUAUCAGUUAUAUGACCAUGGUGGACCACACAGUUUAAUAUCAGUUAUAUAAACACUGUGGACUACACAGUUUAAUAUCAGUUAUAUAAACACUGUGGACUACACAGUUUAAUAUCAGUUAUAUGACCAUGGUGGACCACACAGUUUAAUAUCAGUUAUAUGACCAUGGUGGACUACACAGUUUAAUAUCAGUUAUAUAAACACUGUGGACUACACAGUUUAAUAACAGUUAUAUGACCAUGGUGGACCACACAGUUUAAUAUCAGUUAUAUGACCAUGGUGGACCACACAGUUUAAUAUCAGUUAUAUGACCAUGGUGGACCACACAGUUUAAUAUCAGUUAUAUGACCAUGGUGGACUACACAGUUUAAUAUCAGUUAUAUGACCAUGGUGGACUACACAGUUUAAUAAUGGUUAUAUAAUCAUGACCAUGGUGGACUACACAGUUUAAUAUCAGUUAUAUGACCAUGGUGGACCACACAGUUUAAUAUCAGUUAUAUGACCAUGGUGGACCACACAGUUUAAUAUCAGUUAUAUGACCAUGGUGGACUACACAGUUUAAUAUCAGUUAUAUGACCAUGGUGGACCACACAGUUUAAUAUCAGUUAUAUGACCAUGGUGGACCACACAGUUUAAUAUCAGUUAUAUGACCAUGGUGGACUACACAGUUUAAUAUCAGUUAUAUGACCAUGGUGGACCACACAGUUUAAUAUCAGUUAUAUGACCAUGGUGGACCACACAGUUUAAUAUCAGUUAUAUGACCAUGGUGGACCACACAGUUUAAUAUCAGUUAUAUGAUCAUGACCAUGGUGGACCACACAGUUUAAUAUCAGUUAUAUGACCAUGGUGGACCACACAGUUUAAUAUCAGUUAUAUGACCAUGGUGGACCACACAGUUUAAUAUCAGUUAUAUGACCAUGGUGGACCACACAGUUUAAUAUCAGUUAUAUGACCAUGGUGGACUACACAGUUUAAUAUCAGUUAUAUAAUCAUAAACACUGUGGACCACACAGUUUAAUAUCAGUUAUAUGACCAUGGUGGACCACACAGUUUAAUAUCAGUUAUAUGACCAUGGUGGACCACACAGUUUAAUAUCAGUUAUAUAAUCAUGACCAUGGUGGACUACACAGUUUAAUAUCAGUUAUAUGACCAUGGUGGACCACACAGUUUAAUAUCAGUUAUAUGACCAUGGUGGACUACACAGUUUAAUAUCAGUUAUAUGACCAUGGUGGACUACACAGUUUAAUAUCAGUUAUAUGACCAUGGUGGACCACACAGUUUAAUAUCAGUUAUAUGACCAUGGUGGACCACACAGUUUAACAACAGUUAUAUGAUCAUGGUGGACCACACAGUUUAAUAUCAGUUAUAUAAUCAUGACCAUGGUGGACCACACAGUUUAAUAUCAGUUAUAUAAUCAUGACCAUGGUGGACUACACAGUUUAAUAUCAGUUAUAUGACCAUGGUGGACCACACAGUUUAAUAUCAGUUAUAUAAUCAUGACCAUGGUGGACUACACAGUUUAAUAUCAGUUAUAUGACCAUGGUGGACCACACAGUUUAAUAUCAGUUAUAUGACCAUGGUGGACCACACAGUUUAAUAUCAGUUAUAUGACCA